AUCAUAAUAAUCUCCUCUAUGAUGUAACUCAUAUUUGAUUUUAAGAAACCUCGAUGAUUCUGAAUUUAAAAAAAUCAACACAUUUUGGAUGAGGGGUGGAUCAAACGGUUUUCAUGUUUCCAUUUAGUAUCAAACUCUAUAAAUACGGAUGUAUUUCAAGUGCUAUGUUCUUAAAAUUUUGCAUAGAGCGCUUAUCAUUGUCUUUAUUGCAAACAUCAUACGGCAUAAGCAUGAAACUUGGGCUAUUUCAGGUUCACUUGCUGAAGUCGUUUUUGUGAGACUAGUAGAGAGGUUGAGAUUUAAAACGUGUACGGGUACGCGUACGUGUGUUAAAACUACAUGUACACGUACACGUUUUUGUAAUUUAUCAGUUGAGAUUUCUUAACUUGUAGGAUAUAAAUGUGUACGUAAAUCGACGCAGUUUUGUGACAUGAAUUUAUUUAGUUAAUUCCAAAUAAAUGUUAAAUUUCUUAUCAAUUUUCAUGCAAAUGAAGUUUAAAAAUCUAUAUAUUGUAUCACAAGAAUACAUUUACUCAUCAAUAAGAUUUUAUUUGUUGUAUAAAGCUACACGUUUGUACUUACGUGUAGACGACACUCUACAAGUUUAGAGAACGUGUAGAAACCAUGUCGUCACAAAAACUGAUGACGUAAUACGCAAAGAAUUUAGGUGAUUCCCCUAGUUCACGUGCAAGUACUCGUACACGUUUGAAAUCUCAACCUCUCCAAUGCCAACAUAACCCGAAGAAUGCUGACAUCCCUUACUGUCUGACGUCAAGCCAAAAUGCACUCUCACACAAAAAUUCUCACCUUUCUGUUACGUGAAAAUUUUCACACGAAUGUUAGAAAUGUUCAUGUUAAUGAUAAUGACUUUAUUUUGAAAAAAAAAUAUUUUUCGAGUUUUUAAAAAUUUCCAUCUUCGACUUACGCCAUAUUCCUGUAAGUGCUCUUGACGUGAUAGUUUUACAAAACAUGUACAGGUUAAUCUUCCUUAAUUACGGUCACCUUAAAAAUGGAUUAAAAUUGCAGUCAAAAACGUCCUCUUCAGUUUUUGUUCAGUUUAAACCAAAACUACGGAGGAGGUUUUUGGCUUCUUUUGUAUAACCGGAUAUGUUCCCGAACAUCUGGGAUUAUUCUCUUUUAGCUAUAAUUCCCUGCAUAAUUACUUUCAGUAUUGUUCUAAAGUUAGAAUCUUCAGAAGUCUGAAUUGUCAUUUCAAAUAUUCAACAUUAAAACAUUAAAAGCAAUUCUUGUUUAAGAUAUGAAUUCAAUUAACAAUACUGGUGUUAUUACUAUCAAAUUAAGAGGAACUAGAAGAACUGGACAUUGUGUAACCUGAGUUUGUUUGUUUGUUGUUUUUUUUUGUGUUUAUUGUGUGUGUGGGUUGUUUUUUUUGUUUAACACUUAGCACGGAUGUUUCUUUAAGAAUUCUUGAGAUGCUGACGUCAUUAUUUACGAAAUAGGUCGACCACUCCUAAGUGUCAACUUCACAUUCUAUAACUCAGAUGCACACCAAACGUAAGUGAUCCGUGUAUUGUAAUUCUUUCGCAAAGUAACAUUAAAGUGUUGACCACACAGUUGUUAUAACAGAUGGGGAUGUCUACAUAUGUCAUGGUUACUGUUAGUGUGGCCUUUAUGUUGUGUGUAACUAUUUCAGUGUGUUACGAACAGAAAGAUGAAAUUACCGUUUGGGAUGAAGUCUUACCCAUAAAAGAAGAAGUUUUGUUUGACAAAGACUCUGGAAUACCUUCAAAAACUCAAAGCAUUCCUCUUUCUAGUCUAUUGGCGGAUGUGUUUUGCCGGAUGUGCGACUUCUUUCCAAAUAACGAUCAGAAAAUGAUUUGUAAACGUCAACGGUGUAUUUACGUCGGCAAUGCGAAGAGGUGACUUCCGGAGAACUCUUCUUACUUCUAAACAAUGCUACUUUAAAUUCCUGUGAUUUGUGUAAAGUAUCAUGUGGAUAUUGUAUUGGCAAAAGCCAUCUCAUUCAUGCGGAACAUAAUAUAUUAGAAUAUUUUUAAAUUAACAGAGUAUACAUUUAAGUCCACUAAAUGAGAAAUAAAGUCUAUACAGUACA